GGCCUCCUGGUGCUGACCAUUGGCUGUAUCCUUACACUGUGUUGAAGGAGGAGGCAGAGUAAACCCACCCCAUAUACACCUCAGCCCAGGCGCUUUGCCUGAUCUGUAGUGUGAAUGGGGGGAUAGGA